rnacentral:rRNA from 1 species
CCGGCGACCGGCGCACGGGUGAGUAACACGUAUGCAACCUGCCCGUCUCAGGGGGAUAAUCGCCGGAAACGGCGUCUAAUACCCCGUAUGAAGCUGGACGGCAUCGUCUGGUUUUGAAAGAAUAUCGGAGACGGAUGGGCAUGCGGCGCAUUAGCUAGUUGGCGGGGUAACGGCCCACCAAGGCGACGAUGCGUAGGGGUUCUGAGAGGAAGGUCCCCCACACUGGUACUGAGACACGGACCAGACUCCUACGGGAGGCAGCAG